rnacentral:rRNA from 1 species
UANGGANUNUUCGNCAAUGGACGGAANUUUGACCGAGCAACGCCGCGUGAGUGAAGAAGGUUUUCGNAUCGUAAAGCUCUGUUGUUAGAGAAGAACGUUGGUAGGAGUGGAAAAUCUACCAAGUGACGGUAACUAACCAGAAAGGGACGGCUAACUACGUGCCAGCAGCCGCGGUAAUACGUAGGUCCCGAGCGUUGUCCGGAUUUAUUGGGCGUAAAGCGAGCGCAGGCGGUUCUUUAGGUCUGAAGUUAAAGGCAGUGGCUUAACCAUUGUACGCUUUGGAAACUGGAGGACUUGAGUGCAGAAGGGGAGAGUGGAAUUCCAUGUGUAGCGGUGAAAUGCGUAGAUAUAUGGAGGAACACCGGUGGCGAAAGCGGCUCUCUGGUCUGUAACUGACGCUGAGGCUCGAAAGCGUGGGGAGCAAACAGGAUUAGAUACCCUGGUAGUCCACGCCGUAAACGAUGAGUGCUAGGUGUUAGGCCCUUUCCGGGGCUUAGUGCCGCAGCUAACGCAUUAAGCACUCCGCCUGGGGAGUACGACCGCAAGGUUG